rnacentral:rRNA from 1 species
AGGAGGCAGCAGUGAGGAAUAUUGGACAAUGGGCGCAAGCCUGAUCCAGCAAUUCCGCGUGGGUGAAGAAGGUCUUCGGAUUGUAAAGCCCUUUCGACAGGGACGAUGAUGACGGUACCUGUAGAAGAAGCCCCGGCUAACUCCGUGCCAGCAGCCGCGGUAAUACGAAGGGGGCUAGCGUUGCUCGGAAUGACUGGGCGUAAAGGGCGCGUAGGCGGCACAACUAGUCAGACGUGAAAUUCCUGGGCUUAACCUGGGGGCCGCGUUUGAUACGGUUGGGCUAGAGGAUGGAAGAGGCUCGUGGAAUUCCCAGUGUAGAGGUGAAAUUCGUAGAUAUUGGGAAGAACACCGGUGGCGAAGGCGGCGAGCUGGUCCAUUACUGACGCUGAGGCGCGAAAGCGUGGGGAGCAAACAGGAUUAGAUACCCCGGUAGUCCC